rnacentral:rRNA from 1 species
GUAAAAGUCGUAACAAGGUUUCCGUAGGUGAACCUGCGGAAGGAUCAUUAAUGAAUUUAUUGACAAGGCUGUCGCUGGUCUUUACAGGCAUGUGCACGCUUUGCUUCAAUUCAUCCAUUCUACACCUCUGUGCACUCUUCAUAGGCUGACUUAUUGGGGUUAUCAUUGUAUGACCCUUGGUCUUUCUAUGCAUUUUAUUACAAACAUGUCUGGUUUAGAAUGUCUCUACUGCGAAUGUAACGCAUAUAAAUAUAACUUUCAGCAACGGAUCUCUUGGCUCUCGCAUCGAUGAAGAACGCAGCGAAAUGCGAUAAGUAAUGUGAAUUGCAGAAUUCAGUGAAUCAUCGAAUCUUUGAACGCACCUUGCGCUCCUUGGUAUUCCGAGGAGCAUGCCUGUUUGAGUGUCAUGUUAUUCUCAGUCCCCUCAGAUUUUUCUGACGGCUGGUACUGGAUAUUGGAAGCUGCCGGAAACAUACUUUCAGCUCUUCUCAAAUGCAUUAGCGCGAAUAUUUAUCAAGUGUUCUCCAGUGUAAUAAUUAUCUGCGCUGCCGAAUCUUUGAUGAGAUUUUAUGUGUUUGUGCUUCAAAUCGUUUCCAUAGUGGAACAAAUUCUUUUGCAUUUGACCUCAAAUCAGGCAGGAC